GAGUAAGACCAAGCGGCGGACGGGUGAGUAACGCGUGGGUAACCUACCCUAUACACAUGGAUAACAUACUGAAAAGUUUACUAAUACAUGAUAAUAUAUAUUUACGGCAUCGUAGAUAUAUCAAAGUGUUAGCGGUAUAGGAUGGACCCGCGUCUGAUUAGCUAGUUGGUGAGAUAACUGCCCACCAAGGCGACGAUCAGUAGCCGACCUGAGAGGGUGAUCGGCCACAUUGGAACUGAGACACGGUCCAAACUCCUACGGGAGGCAGCAGUGGGGAAUAUUGCACAAUGGGCGCAAGCCUGAUGCAGCAACGCCGCGUGAACGAUGAAGGUCUUCGGAUCGUAAAGUUCUGUUGCAGGGGAAGAUAAUGACGGUACCCUGUGAGGAAGCCCCGGCUAACUACGUGCCAGCAGCCGCGGUAAUACGUAGGGGGCUAGCGUUAUCCGGAUUUACUGGGCGUAAAGGGUGCGUAGGUGGUCUUUCAAGUCGGUGGUUAAAGGCUACGGCUCAACCGUAGUUAGCCUCCGAAACUGGAAGACUUGAGUGCAGGAGAGGAAAGUGGAAUUCCCAGUGUAGCGGUGAAAUGCGUAGAUAUUGGGAGGAACGCCAGUAGCGAAGGCGGCUUUCUGGACUGCAACUGACACUGAGGCACGAAAGCGUGGGUAGCAAACAGGAUUAGAUACCCUGGUAGUCCACGCUGUAAACGAUGAGUACUAGGUGUCGGGGGUUACCCCCCUCGGUGCCGCAGCUAACGCAUUAAGUACUCCGCCUGGGGAGUACGCACGCAAGUGUGGAACUCAAAGGAAUUGACGGGGACCCGCACAAGUAGCGGAGCAUGUGGUUUAAUUCGAAGCAACGCGAAGAACCUUACCUAAGCUUGACAUCCCUUAGACCGGUGUUUAAUCACACCUUCCCUUCGGGGCUGAGGUGACAGGUGGUGCAUGGUUGUCGUCAGCUCGUGUCGUGAGAUGUUGGGUUAAGUCCCGCAACGAGCGCAACCCUUGUCUUUAGUUGCCAGCAUUCAGUUGGGCACUCUAGAGAGACUGCCAGGGAUAACCUGGAGGAAGGUGGGGAUGACGUCAAAUCAUCAUGCCCCUUAUGCUUAGGGCUACACACGUGCUACAAUGGGUGGUACAGAGGGUUGCCAAACCGUGAGGUGGAGCUAAUCCCUUAAAGCCAUUCUCAGUUCGGAUUGUAGGCUGAAACUCGCCUACAUGAAGCUGGAGUUACUAGUAAUCGCAGAUCAGAAUGCUGCGGUGAAUGCGUUCCCGGGUCU
rnacentral:rRNA from 1 species